ensembl:lncRNA
GUCAAGUGAAGGAAAAGGAGAGUACUGCUCUGCAGGGAGUUAGUGCUGGUCUUGUCACAUGCACAGAGCUCAAGGGUUCACCAGCAAAACCACAGGGAAUGCCAGGGUGAGGUAAAGUGGGAGCGCAGGAGGAAAGUUGUUGACUCCUUGACUCUGAAUUGCCAACUUCAAACCAUUGCUGAGAUAGAGAACACUGGAUGUAUAUGGAAUAAAAAAAAAUGUCAUUUCAAGUUUCAGCCUUCAAUUAAAGCUGUGGAACCAGAAGGAACAGAACACAGGGCAGCGGGAUGAGGCAAAAGGCAGACCCGGAUCUGGGAGCAGCAUUCAGCCUGGCUAGAUGAGCCCUGGUUCUGCUGCCCUUGGGGCCUGGGGAGCAGCAGGUGGGAAGAAGAUGUGCUGGCAGCGGCUGCAUGGAUUCACAUGGAGGGAUAUGAUCUUCCCCACUCCCACCUUUCUAUCUUUCUCCACUGGAACUGGCUUUGAGGUCCACAUCGCUCCUGGAAAUACACUGCUGAGGUAUUCAGCAAAAAGCAGAGCAUCCAACCUAAUUCUUCUCUCCUCUGAAUGUUUCUGUUCUCUUAUGCUGCCUAAAUGAGACAGGUGGAAGACAGCUUUAAUUAGGACUUGGCCAUAAAGCACCAGGAUGUUAUCAACAAGAUCACAUGCAAAGGGACACCUUACCCCUCUGAGCAAGAGGUGCUGGGCUGGUGCCAAGCCCAGGGAAAGCCAGCAAAGUCCCUGCGAGCAGCAGCAAAGCUGAAAGUUGUCUCGGAGGAAAUUGCUAGACCAAGACAGGGAUUUGUUCCUGCUUUAUGUUCGUGUUCAGCCUGGGAAGCUGAAGUCUUCCAAGGAAGCAACCAAGUAUCAGCAAGCAGAUUCUGUUCCUUACUCCUGAGAAGCUAAAUCCGAAGAAAGAAAGACAAGAUUUUCUUCUGAGAUGUGGUGUGACUACAGGUUCUGCUAUUUGUUUAUGAUGUUCCUCCAGUUUACAUAGUCACAGCUGCUUAUUUAGUACAUAGGUAAUCCUGUAGCAAAAUAAUGUUAGCACAGUCAUUCUUAUGCCACUUCUGGGUCUGGUAUUAAGGAUACCAACAGAGGAGUGAGGGUAUCCCCGUGCUUCUUGGUCUUUGCCUGCCACUGAGCUCCACAGUGCCAGAAGAGUUCAGCUGCCUUAGGUGAUGACAAUAAGGAAAGAACAUUUACUGCAGGUUGUAGGUACUCAUCUAAGCACUAUGUGGUGUGCUGUAAUUGCAGGCUGCAUUAGGUCAUGCUUUGUCACAAGGCUUAUUCCAAACAGAAGUCGCUUCCAUUGGAUUGUCCUUGCAGCAGCAACGUAAAUGAACAAGCUUGGGCAGCUUUGCCAGAAAUGUCUAAAACUAAAUAAUUAGUCAACAGCCAUUCAUGCAGCAUAUGACAGAAGUGCUAUUAUUGUCAGGGAGAGUACGGAGCCUGUGACUACAACUCACCACUCAAUCUGAACAGUUAGUUGAACAUAACACGCUUGUAAUAAUAUUUAAAGCUUAAUAUCUGAUGCGUGUAUGAGAGUCCAAAUUCACAUGACAUACAAGAAAAAAACAACGACUGGUACAUUAGAGACAUGAAUUCCUUUUAAGUUAGCUAAGGAAAUUGGCAGGUAGUUCUUAAGAACUUGUUUGUAUACAAAUCCCUUUCUGCUGCUGGAAAUCCAGCAGCAAUGUUCAAACUUUAGGCAAAAGAGCUCACAAGCUGCCUACAGACCUGUAGUCCUCAGGUAAUAAAGGAGGGGGAAAGAGCCCUCACUUAUUCCAAGUGCUCUGCAGCAUUUUGAGAAGAAAAACGAAUGUGAAUCCUAGGGAUAGUGGGCCACAGUGCUGAUAGAGCAUGCCCUACAGAAGUAAGUUGGGUGCAAGGCCAUGAUGAUGCAGCUACGCUGUCAUGGGUUCCAGACACACUCCCUUUGCAGUUAGCUGAGACAGUUAGCUGGACUGUUUUCCACUGCCCAGUGUACAAAAUGCCCAAUGUUUGUAUAGCCCUUAGCAAAAUAGGACCCUAUUCUUGAUUGGCCUCAAAACAGCACAGUGAUUCUAAUUAUAAAUACCAGGGAAAUAAAUGAUCACAGAAGGCAUUUGAUGUAUUUUUUCCAGCAUGCAACAGCAGUACCAAUACGUACAAGAGCACAAUGCAAUCAGAUUCUGAUGUAUGCAAUAUAUUUUUAACACAAUGGACUUCAUCCAGACUUUUCUGGCACCAUCUUCUAUUGUCUUUCAUCACUUUGCAGUGAAGUCAUGUAGGGUACUCCAGACUUGAGGUGGCUGUGGUCUAGUGCUGAGAUUAAUGCUGAAUAAAAAUCAAGUUAGUUAGUAGAGCUUAAAUAACUGUUAGGCAAAUGAAUAUUUGUUUGUGGAAAGAAACAACUGCUGAAUAGAUGAAGUAAGUCAUUUUAGUCCCUGUCUUCGUAUCGUGUGCUGCAAAAUAAAUGCAGAUCUGAGAGAGAGACCCACUUCUGCUGCUGCCCACUCCUUUCUACUUUAAUAUUGUAAAUUGAAAAUGAUUUGAAAAAAAAAUAAUAUCAUAAAAUAAUAAUAAUUAGAAUUCCACUGAUGUCCCUUUUAUGAUAAUAUAUUUGAGUUGUUCUUCAAAAAUCAAAUGAAGAAACUUCAGCCACAGUAGAGGUCUUAACCAAAAUUAAAGUCUUGUACUGAAAAUAUCAGCAUUUCUUAUGAGCUCACCUGGAGGGAGAUUAUGGGGCAACAAGUAAUGAGAUGGGUAAAGGACUGCUAUUCUUACUUCAUUUGGCCAAGAUCUACUCAACAUCUUGGAUUGUCCUCGUUUUUGUUGUGUAUUAAAAUGGUGCUAAGUGAGCUCAAGCAGGGCUUGGUGUUACAGACACUGUGAGACUGUCUCCUGGCAUUUUACAGUCAGAGGAGGAGUAGAGAGAAAGGAAUGAACUGGAGAGAACUUUUACAAUGCUCAUAAAACUGAUGUUAGAUCUGUGGGUGGCAUUUGCUGACAGCAUAGUCUGAAGGGACAAACAAACCAAAGGCAGAAGUGGUGAGGAAGGGAAAUGAAGAGAAAAAAAAGAGCAAGGAUGGAAAGAAGGAAACACAUGGUAGGCAAUGAAGUAAAGGUGAAGUGGCUGUGAAUAGCUAAUCACUGAAAAGAAAACAGUGUUGAAAGUAGAAGUACAUGGGAAAAAGCAGCACACAGAUAGAAUCAGUGAGUUGCUGAUAAUUCUUAGUCAAGCUGCUUUGGUUGCUUCACAUGCCAGCCUUGAGCUUCAGGCAGAAGAACAAUUGACUGUUACGACAGUCUGGAUUUAGUUCAAGGUGAAUUACGUGUGCAAUUUCAGGAUAAUUUAUCUUCGCCUGCCUUAAAAUCCAAAAGAAAGACACCGCCAACUUUUGUUCUAGCUUAACUAUUAAUUCUAUUGAUAAAAUUUUGUUAGUCAUCUUCAGAUUUAAAAAAAAAUCCAUGCAGUCAUAAUUAGAAUUCUAUGUAUAUAGAUACGAUUUACUAGGCACUCUUCUGACACAGGGAAAAUGAUACCAUUCCCCUAAACAUCAAAGAGAUUAAGACAGACAGCUCUUGGCAGAGGCCAACAGAAGGAGCAGCAAAGUAGGAGUAAGAUUUUUUCUCGGAUAACUGUGCCAGGAAGGAAAUCUUUCAGUGUUAAAGUUCAUAGAUUUGGUGAGCUUGCAAAGGGGGCUACAUGGGAAGAUGUUGUUUGACAUCGUAAGCCUCUUGUCUGGACCUACUAACACAUUCUCCUCCCUGAAGUUGAAGAAUCCAGGUCACCUUGUAAGUAGGCAAACUGCUGCUGCAGAAGUUUCUCCUUAGGUCGUUACAUCAGUAUCUCACCUUUUGCUUGCCAAGCUUGUUUAGUACCGCGGCAGGAGUCUUCUGAAAGAGACUGCUGUGCAUCUUUGAGGACAAUGUUAAAAUUAAGCAAAUGAUGCCAGAGGUUUGUGUUUUGCUCUCUGCUGCCAUGAAUGAUCAGCAUGGGCAUAUGAUAAAGGGUAACCACUUAUUUGUGUGAGUGACUGAAAGCAGUUUUGCCAACGGGGAUGUUUGGAACAGCAUUUAAUCUGAAAAGAUAAUUAAUGUCUUCUUUGUUGUGCAACAGAAGCCUAUGGAAAGAGAAUCAUAUUGCAUCAUAUCUCUCAAUAACAUACAACUGGGUGGCUGAAAUUGGGUUUAACUAGACAGACAAAAAUAACUUCGGGAGGAGCAGAGAAAGGUUAUGGGUCAUGUGAUGCUGAUUUGUUUGUUUAAAGUUGACCUAUCCCUGGAGCAGAGAGUUUAAUGGGUUCCAGUAAGGACUUGCACCCGGCAUGCAGAGCUGCAAUUACUGUGGGAUGGUUCGAAGUCUGUGUGUGUGUGUGAGGCCUGGGUCAUGUCUGUUCGUGGGGGCAGCAGUAGCUUUCGCAGAGACUACAGAUCAGACUUCCUGAGCAUCCUUCCACUGCCCUGUGAUUGACAAUCAAUAAAAAGAGACAUGAGAUACACUGGGUGAAAAACAGGGCAUCUGAGAUUUCACUGAAGUUGUUCAAACUUGCAAGUAGAAAAAGAAAAGGAGUUUGUUGGCUAAGACAUUCUGAAUACUUUUCUCAUUUGUAUAAACCUGUAUGUAUAAACCUGUAAAUAAAGGUUAUGUUUCCCUUAAA